rnacentral:snoRNA from 2 species
GGAGCAGGUGACGAGAACAAGACAGGGACAUCAGAACCCUCUGUUGGGCAUGAUAGACUCAAGUCUUCAAUGGGAAUCUCUCUGAUGCUUU